rnacentral:lncRNA from 1 species
GUGGUAUGGGUGUGGGCCAUUCAGCCUUGACGGUGUGAGAAGGGGAGAGCUAGUCCUGUCCCUGGAUGAGACAGUAUUAAAGAGCCUACCCUUAUGGUAUGAGCAUUGGUAACUUCCUCUUGCUUGCGGUCUGCCACAGCAGGAGAGCUACUCCUGACCCUUACCUGGGCAAAAUGGAUGAACUGUCCGUUAGGGCAGUUGGUGAAGGACCACGCUGGCUCAGAUUCAGGACCUAGAUUUGGUCCACUCCAACAUCUAUCCCAUCUAUGAACUGCUGGAGCUCUGGAAGGGGUUGGUCCAGGAGAUCAAACCUGCAGGAUCUCCAUAUAAAUAGAAUAUCUAAGCACAGCUUAGGGGGAGGAGUAGCAAGCACUGAGGACAUACAUGGAAAGACAGAGGGGUUUUGAAAUACUAGGCUCACUGGCCCAUUGGAUCCUCCUGACUUAAAUCUUGGGUAACUAGGAGUAUUGGGGUAUUUGAAAAUCAAUGAAGAUCCAGGCAUACAAUUCUGUGGAGGAAAAGCAUGUGUUUUGCAAGCCUGAGGACCUGAAUUCAAUCUCCUGAUUCCAGUUUGGAAGAGAACCAAUUCCUAGAAUUUGUCCUCUGACCUUCCUCUUCAUUCUUUAACAUGCCCAUACCGGUACAUACAUAUUAAUAAAAUAAAAGUAUAAAGGAAUAAAAAGCAAUAAAUAUUAACACUUUAUUCAGC